GAUGAACGCUGGCGGCGUGCCUAAUACAUGCAAGUCGAGCGAACAGACGAGGAGCUUGCUCCUCUGACGUUAGCGGCGGACGGGUGAGUAACACGUGGAUAACCUACCUAUAAGACUGGGAUAAUUUCGGGAAACCGGAGCUAAUACCGGAUAAUCUAUUGAACCGCAUGGUUCAAUAGUGAAAGACGGUUUUGCUGUCACUUAUAGAUGGAUCCGCGCCGCAUUAGCUAGUUGGUAAGGUAACGGCUUACCAAGGCGACGAUGCGUAGCCGACCUGAGAGGGUGAUCGGCCACACUGGAAGUGAGACACGGUCCAGACGCCUACGGGAGGCAGCAGUAGGGAAUCUUCCGCAAUGGGCGAAAACCUGGCGGAGCAACGCCGCGUGAGUGAUGAAGGUCUUCGGAUCGUAAAACUCUGUUAUUAGGGAAGAACAAAUGUGGAAGGAACUAAGCACGGCGUGACGGUACCUAAUCAGAAAGCCACGGCUAACUACGUG
rnacentral:rRNA from 1 species